GACAGAGGUGCCGAGCGUUAGGCGGAAUCACUGGGCUUAAAGCGUGUGUAGGCGGGUGCCUAAGUACCUUGUGAAAUCCCACGGCUCAACCGUGGAACUGCUCGGUAUACUGGGUGCCUUGAGCCAACUAGGGGCGACCGGAACAAACGGUGGAGCGGUGAAAUGCGUAGAUAUCGUUUGGAACGCCGAUGGUGAAAACAGGUCGCUGGGGUUGUGCUGACGCUGAGACACGAAAGCCAGGGGAGCGAACGGG
rnacentral:rRNA from 1 species